UACAGAGGGGGCAAGCGUUGUUCGGAAUUACUGGGCGUAAAGGGCGCGUAGGCGGCCUGUUAAGUCGAACGUGAAAUCCCCAGGCUUAACCUGGGAACUGCGUCCGAUACUGGCAGGCUUGAAUCCGGGAGAGGGAUGUGGAAUUCCAGGUGUAGCGGUGAAAUGCGUAGAUAUCUGGAGGAACACCGGUGGCGAAGGCGGCAUCCUGGACCGGCAUUGACGCUGAGGCGCGAAAGCUAGGGGAGCAAACGGG
rnacentral:rRNA from 1 species